AGAGUUUGAUCCUGGCUCAGAGCGAACGCUGGCGGCAGGCCUAACACAUGCAAGUCGAGCGCCCGUGGCAACACGGGAGCGGCAGACGGGUGAGUAACACGUGGGAACGUGCCCUUCGGUUCGGAAUAACUCAGGGAAACUUGGAUUAAUACCGGAUACGUCCGCAAGGAGAAAGAUUUAUCGCCGAAGGAGCGGCCCGCGUCCGAUUAGCUAGUUGGUGGGGUAAUGGCCCACCAAGGCGACGAUCGGUAGCUGGUCUGAGAGGAUGAUCAGCCACACUGGGACUGAGACACGGCCCAGACUCCUACGGGAGGCAGCGGUGGGGAAUAUUGGACAAUGGGCGCAAGCCUGAUCCAGCCAUGCCGCGUGAGUGAUGAAGGCCCUAGGGUUGUAAAGCUUUUUCGGCGGGGAAGAUAAUGACGGUACCCGCAGAAGAAGCCCCGGCCAACUUCGUGCCAGCAGCCGCGGUAAU
rnacentral:rRNA from 1 species